rnacentral:rRNA from 1 species
GACGAACGCUGGCGGCGUGCUUAACACAUGCAAGUCGAACGGAAAGGCCCUGCUUUUGUGGGGUGCUCGAGUGGCGAACGGGUGAGUAACACGUGAGUAACCUGCCCUUGACUUUGGGAUAACUUCAGGAAACUGGGGCUAAUACCGGAUAGGAGCUCCUGCUGCAUGGUGGGGGUUGGAAAGUUUCGGCGGUUGGGGAUGGACUCGCGGCUUAUCAGCUUGUUGGUGGGGUAGUGGCUUACCAAGGCUUUGACGGGUAGCCGGCCUGAGAGGGUGACCGGCCACAUUGGGACUGAGAUACGGCCCAGACUCCUACGGGAGGCAGCAGUGGGGAAUAUUGCACAAUGGGUGGAAGCCUGAUGCAGCAACGCCGUGUGCGGGAUGACGGCCUUCGGGUUGUAAACCGCUUUCGCUCAUGACGAAGCUUUGUGUGACGGUAGUGGGUAAAGAAGCACCGGCUAACUACGUG